UGGGAACGUGCCUUUUGGUUCGGAACAACCCAGGGAAACUUGGGCUAAUACCGGAUAAGCCCUUACGGGGAAAGAUUUAUUGCCAAAAGAUCGGCCCGCGUCUGAUUAGCUAGUUGGUGGGGUAAUGGCCACCAAGGCUACGAUCAGUAGCUGGUCUGAGAGGAUGAUCAGCCACACUGGGACUGAGACACGGCCCAGACUCCUACGGGAGGCAG
rnacentral:rRNA from 1 species